UUCCUGGUGGACUAGUGGUUAGGACUCAGCACUUUCACUGCUGCAGCCCAGGUUCAAUUCCUGGUCUGGGAA
rnacentral:tRNA from 1 species